rnacentral:rRNA from 1 species
AACGAACGCUGGCGGCAGGCCUAACACAUGCAAGUCGAGCGCGCCCUUCGGGGUGAGCGGCGGACGGGGGAGUAACGCGUGGGAACGUGCCCUUUUCUACGGAAUAGCCUCGGGAAACUGAGAGUAAUACCGUAUACGCCCUUUGGGGGAAAGAUUUAUCGGAAAAGGAUCGGCCCGCGUUGGAUUAGGUAGUUGGUGGGGUAAUGGCCUACCAAGCCGACGAUCCAUAGCUGGUUUGAGAGGAUGAUCAGCCACACUGGGACUGAGACACGGCCCAGACUCCUACGGGAGGCAGCAGUGGGGAAUCUUAGACAAUGGGGGCAACCCUGAUCUAGCCAUGCCGCGUGAGUGAUGAAGGCCUUAGGGUUGUAAAGCUCUUUCAGCUGGGAAGAUAAUGACGGUACCAGCAGAAGAAGCCCCGGCUAACUCCGUG